rnacentral:rRNA from 1 species
CCUACGGGAGGCUGCAGUGGGGAAUAUUGGACAAUGGGGGGAACCCUGAUCCAGCCAUGCCGCGUGUGUGAAGAAGGCCCUCGGGUUGUAAAGCACUUUCAGUGAGGAAGAACGCCUGGUGGUGAAUACCCAUCAGGAAAGACAUCACUCACAGAAGAAGCACCGGCUAACUCCGUGCCAGCAGCCGCGGUAAUACGGAGGGUGCGAGCGUUAAUCGGAAUUACUGGGCGUAAAGCGCGCGUAGGUGGCUUGAUAAGCCGGUUGUGAAAGCCCCGGGCUCAACCUGGGAACGGCAUCCGGAACUGUCAAGCUAGAGUGCAUGAGAGGAAGGUAGAAUUCCCGGUGUAGCGGUGAAAUGCGUAGAGAUCGGGAGGAAUACCAGUGGCGAAGGCGGCCUUCUGGACUGACACUGACACUGAGGUGCGAAAGCGUGGGUAGCAAACAGGAUUAGAUACCCGGGUAGUC